GGAGUUAGCCGGUGCUUCUUCUGCGAGUAACGUCACAGAUGUAAGGUAUUAACUUACACCCUUUCCUCCUCGCUGAAAGUGCUUUACAACCCGAAGGCCUUCUUCACACACGCGGCAUGGCUGCAUCAGGGUUUCCCCCAUUGUGCAAUAUUCCCCACUGCUGCCUCCCGUAGGAGUCUGGGCCGUGUCUCAGUCCCAGUGUGGCUGAUCAUCCUCUCAGACCAGCUAGGGAUCGUCGCCUAGGUGAGCCUUUACCUCACCUACUAGCUAAUCCCACCUGGGCUUAUCCAUCAGCGCAAGGCCCGAAGGUCCCCUGCUUUCCCCCGUAGGGCGUAUGCGGUAUUAGCAGUCGUUUCCAACUGUUAUCCCCCACAAAUGGGCAAAUUCCCAGGCAUUACUCACCCGUCCGCCGCUCGUCAUCUUCAAAAGCAAGCUUUUGAAAUGUUACCGCUCGACUUGCAUGUGUUAGGCCUGCCGCCAGCGUUCAAUCUGAGCCAGAAUCGAAACCCUUGACGUACGAGGACGGGCGGUCGGUACGGACGGACGGCGACUAG
rnacentral:rRNA from 1 species